ACGGGUGAGUAACACGUGGGAACGUACCUUUCGGUUCGGAAUAAUUCAGGGAAACUUGGACUAAUACCGGAUACGCCCUUCGGGGGAAAGAUUUAUCGCCGAUAGAUCGGCCCGCGUCUGAUUAGCUAGUUGGUGAGGUAAUGGCUCACCAAGGCGACGAUCAGUAGCUGGUCUGAGAGGAUGAUCAGCCACAUUGGGACUGAGACACGGCCCAAACUCCUACGGGAGGCAGCAGUGGGGAAUAUUGGACAAUGGGCGCAAGCCUGAUCCAGCCAUGCCGCGUGAGUGAUGAAGGCCUUAGGGUUGUAAAGCUCUUUUGUCCGGGAAGAUAAUGACUGUACCGGAAGAAUAAGCCCCGGCUAACUUCGUGCCAGCAGCCGCGGUAAUACGAAGGGGGCUAGCGUUGCUCGGAAUCACUGGGCGUAAAGGGCGCGUAGGCGGACUCUUAAGUCGGGGGUGAAAGCCCAGGGCUCAACCCUGGAAUUGCCUUCGAUACUGAGAGUCUUGAGUUCGGAAGAGGUUGGUGGAACUGCGAGUGUAGAGGUGAAAUUCGUAGA
rnacentral:rRNA from 28 species